rnacentral:rRNA from 1 species
AGAAUCAACGCUGGCGGCGUGCCUAACACAUGCAAGUCGAACGCGGUUACUCCGCAAGGAGUAACUGAGUGGCGAACGGGUGAGUAACGCGUGGGUGACCUACCUCUGAGUGGGGGAUAACGGUCCCGAAAGGGACGCUAAUACCGCAUGACAUCCCGUCCUUGAACGGAUGGAGAUCAAAGCCGGGGAUCGUAAGACCUGGCGCUUGGUGAGGGGCCCGCGUCCGAUUAGCUAGUUGGUGAGGUAACGGCCCACCAAGGCGACGAUCGGUA